CUGCUAUAGCUGAUGCUGAUAUAAAUGCUCCUAGCUUGCAUAUUUUUGCUGGUAGUUUUUACCAUGUGCUUGUGAUGAUGUAAUUUAGGGAGCUGAUUCUGAAAGCUCUGAUUCUUAACACUUAUAUGGUUAAGACAUAUUGCUUUCUGCAUAACAGCAUCUAUCUUCUUUCUAAUCUAUUUUUUGACUGAAUAUUUACUGUUCCUAUACAGUUUGUACGAUACUCCUAGAAUGAAUAUUUCAAUUUUAGGGUGUAAUGGCUACAUGCAGAGUCCAUGGCCCUCCUGACCUUUUCUGGGAAAUGAAGCUGCUAAGCCAAAGUUGCGUGGCUUAUCUUGAAGAAUUUAGUCCACUAAACUACAUAUACAAGUGUGUGCAGGUCAGCUGGUACAUGUGUUCAGACACAAGCAUGGAUUAUCUCCAAUAAAGAGAGGUUGCCAUUUGAAAAGGAUCUACACGGUGGUGCAAGAAGUAAUCCUGUCGAGUCCAGCAAUGAGAAGGUGAAAGUGUCAACCUGUGUAAAAUUAAUAUUGUUUUGUAUUUACAAAAUGUUGUGUUAAACCUAUAUAUCCUAGCCAAUAAAUUGCAAAUUAUUUAAAAUGUGCCUACACCGACCUCUUUUGAUCUGUCCACAGCUGCUGACAUGCUACUCUGAUCUAGCUACAUAAAAAAAGGGCAUUUGAAAAAAAAACAGUUAACUAUUAUCUACAUUGCUCUUUUCAUAUAGCUCAAAUAAAUAAUUCGUUGAUUUCAUCCUGAUCCAGUGACCAUGUCACAUUUUAUUGCUGGAAUGUAGCUUAACAUUCUAUCAAUCUUGCAAAGUAUAUGUCAUCGAUGUGUUUGUGUUCGGAUUUUAGAAUAUCAGGGCAACUGCUGAUUUCCAAGAUGAAUCUGUUACUUAUGAUUCUGCCGUUGUACUACUUUACUCGAGAAUUAUGAACAACAAUUUUUCCCCAUGAUGGCUGGUGCAUGCACUCCAACUGGUUCGUCAACAGAACGUCAUGUGCAUGCUUUAGGUAAACUUUGAUGGGUCAACUGAAGUAGAGCCAACAUGCUGAAGCAAUGGAUAUGUUAUUUUGAGAUGCAUCCCAUAUACAUGCAUUUAAAUUGUUUUAUCUCUUUCUAAAAUAGGAAAUUUUUUAUUAUCCUAUUGUGUGAUUGCAGUGUAUCUUAUGUCUGUUAAUUCUUUGUUGUGCAAGUAAGGGAGGAAAAGAGAUAAGCUGAUGUGCAUCUCACCCUUUCUAAAAACAUAGAUACUACCUUGA